CUUGUUCAUGGAUGAGGAGUAGAUAUGAAACUCGGGUAUUGUGCACAGGUAAGAUUCGCUUGAUGCUAUUUUUGCACCUGCUUAGUUAACCACGUUCAUUUCCCUUUCGUUUCUAAUAAACAUAUAUUUCAUCAUGCAACUUAGAAAUAAAAUAUUUAUUACUGUUAUGUAUGUUAUUACAGGGCGAUCGCUCGAAGAAGGUGGCCGUGGUUGAUAGCGAAUACAUUGUUCAUAAGGGUAUACAAAGUUUGGGGGUAGUGGGCAUCCCAUAAUGAGGACAACCAUAAAGAGACACAGGCUUCAAGUUUCGAUCUACGAACUGAGAUUCGGAGGCAGUCGAUAUGGGAACUUAAAGUGUUCAAAGAACGAUGGAAUCAAGCUGUGGAGGAAGACAAGAACUGGGUGGAUCCAUUUCUAAGUAUCAAAGGCGCAGCAGACUACAACAAAAACGACUAGACAACUAGGUUUCUAGCCAUGGUCGGAUAGUGGUGAAUAAUGGGUAUAUGUUACUUAUAACA